rnacentral:tRNA from 1 species
GCAGAUAUAGUUUAACAAAAAUGUUGGAUUGUGAUUCCAAAGACAGGGGUUAAACCCCUCUUAUCCGCC